rnacentral:rRNA from 1 species
AGAGUUUGAUCCUGGCUCAGGACGAACGCUGGCGGCGUGCUUAACACAUGCAAGUCGAACGGUGACGAGCAGCUUGCUGCUCUGAUCAGUGGCGAACGGGUGAGUAACACGUGAGCAACCUGCCCUUGACUCUGGGAUAACAGUUGGAAACAGCUGCUAAUACCGGAUACGACCUCGACCGAUAUCAGUUGAGGUGGAAAGUUCUGGCGGUCAAGGAUGGGCUCGCGGCCUAUCAGCUAGUUGGUGAGGUAAUGGCUCACCAAGGCUUUGACGGGUAGCCGGCCUGAGAGGGCGACCGGCCACAUUGGGACUGAGAUACGGCCCAGACUCCUAUGGGAGGUAGCAGUGGGGAAUAUUGCAUAAUGGGCGAAAGCCUGAUGCAGCAACGCCGCGUGCGGGAUGACGGCCUUCGGGUUGUAAACCGCUUUCAGCUCCGACGAAGCGUAAGUGACGGUAGGAGCAGAAGAAGGACCGGCCAACUACGUGCCAGCAGUUGCGGUGAUACGUAGGGUCCGAGCGUUGUCCGGAAUUAUUGGGCGUAAAGGGCUUGUAGGCGGUUUGUCGCGUCGGAAGUGAAAACUCAGGGCUUAACCCUGAGCCUGCUUCCGAUACGGGCAAACUAGAGGAAUGCAGGGGAGAAUGGAAUUCCUGGUGGAGCGGUGGAAUGCGUAGAUAUCAGGAGGAACACCAGUGGCGAAGGCGGUUCUCUGGGCAUUUCCUGACGCUGAGAAGCGAAAGCGUGGGGAGUAAACAGGCUUAGAUACCCUGGUAGUCCACGCCGUAAACGGUGGGCACUAGGUGUGGGACUCAUUUUACGAGUUCCGUGCCGUAGCUAACGCAUUAAGUGCCCCGCCUGGGGAGUACGGCCGCAAGGCUAAAACUCAAAGGAAUUGACGG